rnacentral:rRNA from 1 species
UGGGCAACCUGCCCCUCUCUCUGGGAUAACCCCGGGGAAACCGGAGCUAAUACCGGAUACUCCGGCUGGAUCGCAUGGUCCGGCCGGGAAAGGUCCGCCGGAGAGGGAUGGGCCCGCGGCCUAUCAGCUUGUUGGUGGGGUCAUGGCUCACCAAGGCGACGACGGGUAGCUGGUCUGAGAGGACGACCAGCCACACUGGAACUGAGAUACGGCCCAGACUCCUACGGGAGGCA